AUUGAACGCUGGCGGCAGGCUUAACACAUGCAAGUCGAACGAGUGGCGGACGGGUGAGUAAUGUCUGGGAAACUUCAUGAUGGAGGGGGAUAACUACUGGAAUCGGUAGCUAAUACCGCAUACACUAGGAUGUGCCCAGAUGGGAUUAGCUUGUUGGUGGGGUAACGGCUCACCAAGGCGACGAUCCCUAGCUGGUCUGAGAGGAUGACCAGCCACACUGGAACGGAGACACGGUCCAGACUCCUACGGGAGGCAGCAGUGGGGAAUAUUGCACAAUGGGCGCAAGCCUGAUGCAGCCAUGCCGCGUGUAUGAAGAAGGCCUUCGGGUUGUAAAGUACUUUCAGCGGGGAGGCGUUACCCGCAGAAGAAGCACCGGCUAACUCCGUGCCAGCAGCCGCGGUAAUAC
rnacentral:rRNA from 1 species